GACUCGGAAGGACCCUAGGGUGUUGUCUUGGGGUACCCACCCCCGCCUUCCUGCUCAGAUUCUGGGUCCCACAUAGGACUGAACGUGCACAGGGCACCACAAAGCUUCAGACAGACCGCAAGAGGCAUGGAGAGAGAAGAGGAAGUGAAUUGGUGCAAGUGGGCGGGGAGCCCAGAAGAUGGCUGGCUCUUUGGCUUCUUCUCUCUUGGUGGGUUGUGGGUUCUCCCUGGAUCCCCAUCUUGGGCUGCUACCACACUAGUUACCUGCCUUGAAACCCACAUGGGCUUCUACUGUUCUAUGCAGAAGCAGUCAGCCUCACAUCUGAAUCUUCAUUGUCGGCAAAUUUGCAAAAGGUAGCCACUGGACAAGAAAGUGCACUUGCCUC